rnacentral:rRNA from 1 species
UGGGACUGCAUUGGAAACUGUUUAACGGGAGUGUCGGAGAGGCAAGUGGAAUUCCUAGUGUAGCGGUGAAAUGCGUAGAUAUUAGGAGGAACACCAGUGGCGAAGGCGGCUUACUGGACUGUAACUGACGUUGAGGCUCGAAAGCGUGGGGAGCAAACAG